GGGCGGGUAGCUCAGUCGGUAGAGCAGAGGACUGAAAAUCCUCGUGUCGGCGGUUCGAUUCCGUCCCCGCCCACCA
rnacentral:tRNA from 1 species